rnacentral:rRNA from 1 species
GGCUUAACACAUGCAAGUCGAGGGGCAGCAUGGACUUAGCUUGCUAAGUUCGAUGGCGACCGGCGCACGGGUGAGUAACGCGUAUCCAACCUCCCGCUUACUCGGGAAUAGCCUUUCGAAAGAAAGAUUAAUACCCGAUGGUAUCUUACGCGCACAUGCAAAUAAGAUUAAAGAUUUAUCGGUAAGCGAUGGGGAUGCGUUCCAUUAGAUAGUAGGCGGGGUAACGGCCCACCUAGUCGACGAUGGAUAGGGGUUCUGAGAGGAAGGUCCCCCACAUUGGAACUGAGACACGGUCCAAACUCCUACGGGAGGCAGCAGUGAGGAAUAUUGGUCAAUGGGCGCGAGCCUGAACCAGCCAAGUAGCGUGAAGGAUGACGG